rnacentral:rRNA from 1 species
GAUGAACGCUGGCGGCGUGCCUAAUACAUGCAAGUCGAGCGAACGGACGAGAAGCUUGCUUCUCUGAUGUUAGCGGCGGACGGGUGAGUAACACGUGGAUAACCUACCUAUAAGACUGGGAUAACUUCGGGAAACCGGAGCUAAUACCGGAUAAUAUUUUGAACCGCAUGGUUCAAAAGUAAAAGACGGUCUUGCUGUCACUUAUAGAUGGAUCCGCGCUGCAUAGCUAGUUGGUAAGGUAACGGCUUACCAAGGCAACGAUGCAUAGCCGACCUGAGAGGGUGAUCGGCCACACUGGAACUGAGACACGGUCCAGACUCCUACGGGAGGCAGCAGUAGGGAAUCUUCCGCAAUGGGCGAAAGCCUGACGGAGCAACGCCGCGUGAGUGAUGAAGGUCUUCGGAUCGUAAAACUCUGUUAUUAGGGAAGAACAUAUGUGUAAGUAACUGUGCACAUCUUGACGGUACCUAAUCAGAAAGCCACGGCUAACUACGUG